UCCUUCUAAUCUCUCACCAUCCAUAAAUAGAAGGUUCAACAUCUUUACACUCCAGUUUUGUUUGAAAUUUCAUGGUGAAUAGUUCUCUUAUCAUCUCUUCAAUGAAAAUAUACCUAUUUUUGAUACUGUGUAUCAUGACAGAUUGCUUGGCGGAAGUCCCAAAUGAUGAAAAAACUUCACGUGAUAUUUUUACACCACGAAAGGGAAAGCAUCAUUUACUAUAUUCGAGGAAGAAAACUGGCUACAGCGAGGUUUAUUUCAAUCCCCUUCACAGUGUCGGAUUUUUAGGUGGACUCCAGGGUUUAAUUGCAUUCGUUAUUCUUAAAAUUAAAAUUGUACUCGUUGUGAUUACGAUAAUUGGGGCAACGGUAUUGGCGUUAAAACUCCUCGGUAUAUUUAAAUAUUCAAAUUAUGUUUAUAAAAGUAAUUAUCCGAUCAUCGAGGGACCACCGACAUUUGAAUAUGGAAGUCCGUUCACUCAUGAUCAUAAAGUGAAUGAGUGGUCGUCACCGUCGCCAUAUGAUCGAGUUGGUUCAAGGGAAUUGGUGAAUGAAUUUCUUUUAAAAGCAGAGGAAAUUAUGAUACCAUGGAUUAAUUUUUCCAAUAAAGAGUGCCGCAAUCGCAUCAUCUGUCAAUUUACGGUGUUAAUGAAUUCACCGUUGGAUUUCAGGGAAUGCACCAAAAUUUACCCUGACUGUUCCGAAGUUCCUGGAAAAAAGGGCGGAGACCCCAGUGGAUUAAUUUAAUAAAAAAAUUGUAAAUGAAUGGUGUAUUUAAUUUAAUAAAUCAUAUAACUCUUUAUUCCAUGAAAAUUA